rnacentral:lncRNA from 1 species
ACUAAUAAAAGAGUAGUUUUUUUUGUUCUUGUAGUUUGGUCAAAUUCGCACAUUCAAUUCAACCUUUGAAAAUUUGACAAGAUACAUCCUUGUGGUUUAAAGAAAUUACACUGCACAUCUUUAAUCCACUUAAAAAGACCAUUUUAACCUUACUUUUAUAUAUUUUCUUUCUUAUAUAUAUAAAGACCCGUUUGCACCGGUGCCUCCAAAAUCAAUUUCACACGGUUGCAACACUGCCACGUAACCCACCAACCAAUCGACACAAUUUAUCAUUAUGUCGACUCAAUCCUUCGUGUUCUGUUCUCCUUCAUCGUCUCCCUUCUGCACAUCAACAUAUCCACCAAUUCCCCAUCUCCUCCAACAACCUGGCCGACUUCAUCCUCAACAAGAAAUCUGACCAUAUCAUCCCCAAAAAAAGAACCUAAUUCCUUCCGCAACUACUAAGAGCAUACAACCAGUGAGAUGGGUUUGGAGAAAUACAUAUGUUACCCUGUUAAAGACAAAGAGAUUAAGUAAAUUGACACGUUUUUUCCCACCGAUUCCGGAGAACGAUGCACUCAACCAACAUGACCUCUAAUGUGUGUGUGUGUGUAUAUANUUUAUUUAUUUAUAUUUUUUAUAAUUUGUAUAAUUUUUUAAAAUUAUAUUCCAUAAUAUUUUUAAUGUUUUUUAUAUUUUGUCCUUUUAUAUUUUUUUGACGUUUUAUUUUAAUCAUUUUUCUAGGUUUUGUUUUUGAUGUUUUGUUUGAAUAUAUAUUCUAAUGUUUUUUUGAUCUUUUAUUUUUUUAUAUAUGUGUAAAGCUUUUUAUAAAUAUUUUUUGUAUAAAAAAUAUAAAAAGGUUAGUUAAAUGAGAAUAUGAUUAACACAUAUUAUGUAUAUAAUUAUUUAUUUUAAUAGGUUAUUGUAUAUGCUAAUUGAAAUUCAAAAUGAGUGUCAAUGGUUUCGAGCUCAAUUUUUUUAGAUUUAGAUUUUUUUUUUUUUUUACAUUUCGUUUGAAUAGAAAAUGCUAAUCAUAAAUCAUAUAAAUCAAACAUAUGUGUCAGUGUUUUCUACUUCAUUUUUUAUUUUUAGAAAUUAUAUUCGGUUUCGAGUUAUAUGGUUUUCCAAUUAGCUUUUAUAUAACUUGAAACCUCUUUUCGAAUUUCAGUUAGUCUAUAUAUUAAUCUUAUUAAAAAUAUAAUUUUGUACCUAAUCUAAAUUAAUAAUACUCACAUUUAACAAACUUUUUUUUUACAAUUUUUACAAUAAGUAUAAACAAACAAAUCGUCAAAAAAUAUUAAAAUGUAUUCAAACAACACAUCAAAAAACUAAAAAAAAAAUUAUUCAAAAAUAUAAACGAAAAAAAAUUUAAAAACAUUUUUUGGUGUGUUGUUUGAAUAUAUUGUUUAAUGUUUUUUUACAUGUUUUUUGUUUAUAUUUUUAUGAUGUUUUUUGAAUAAUUUUUUUUUUAGUUUUUUGGCGUGUUGUUUGAAUACAUUUUAAUUUUUUGACAUAUUGUUUGUUUAUGCUUAUUGUAAAAAAAGUAAAAAAAAAAAAAAAGUUCUUUAAAUGUGAAUAUUAUUAAUUUGGAUUAGGUAAAAAAUUAUAUUUUUUAUAAGAUUAAAAGAUAAACUAACUGAAAUUUGAAAAAGGGUUUCAAGUUAUAUAAAGGCUAAUUGGAAAAACCAUAUAACUCGAAAAACGAACAUAAUUUCUAAAAAUAAUGAAGUCCAAAACAUUGACACAUGUGUUUGAGUUAUAUGAAUUCUAAUUAGCAUUUUCCAUUCGGAACGAAAUGUAAAAAAUGUGUAUGAGUUGCAAGAUUAUCGAAAAUCCAGGUAAAAAUUGUCACUUUUUGAAUUAUGCAGGAACUCUAUCCCAUUUCCAAAAACAGCUUAAUAUGCGGAACUCUACCUCAUUUGCGAAACUAGGCAAAAAAAAGUGUAAAUUCGUACAAACUGCAGGGACCUGAUACGUAAAUUCCUCUGUUUCUCAGAAUUUUCAGCCCAAUUGCGAAACUUGGUAAAUUCUGACCAUUUACUGAAACAUCAGGGACUCACUGCGAAAAUUCUAUUCCUUUUCUUCCAAAAUGUGAAAAAGCAGUCCUAAUUUCGAGUAUAAUUACAAACUGUCAAACCAUCGAAAGUUUCAGGGAUCAAUUCGUAACUUUUAUAUCUUCUUCCCCAAUCUACAUGUGCCAGUCGACUUCAAAAUCAAUCAAUUCAAACUCAUCGACAAUUAACCCUUCCAAGUCGAUGCUUAACAUAGAACUCAGUUUGACCUGUAACCAUUCGAUCAUCAUUUCUUCUUUCCCAGAUCAACAACUACAUCAAAUCUAAAUCAACCAUCUAACCAAUGUAAAUUCUCCAAUUUCAAAGUCUAAACAAAAUGGCUUAGAUCCCAUAGCUGUCGACAAUCAAUCCAUGCUUUCGACAUCAAAAUUACCCAAGUCGAUUUCCAUGAUACAAAUAAGAAUAUCAUCACCACCUUCGAAACUCUAUAAAGGACCAUCAAUCACGAUUCCAAAAUCAAUAUCAACACAAUUUCAAACCAUCAUCAAGUAAUAUCAGUCAACUUUUGAUUAUCGAUUCCAAACCAAAUCAGUUGCACAAUGAACGAACACACAAAAACGAUUUUGACUUUCUAGUUUGACUUUUCGAAUUCGUCAGUCGACAAACACAAAUCGACAACCUUCAAAUCGAUCCUUAAGAUUUCAGUUCUUCAUCAAUCAACGGAAUCAUCAAUAGAAAAAACUUGUGAUUGGACCAAAUCAAUAUCCGUAUUUGACUAAUAAAUCAGAUCGAUUGAAUCAAUUUGAAAAAAAAAAUGAGAAUCAAACAGAUAAUGAAAUAUGAUGACAGAAACGAGAUCAAUCAUCAACUGUGAAUCAAUGAUCUAAACGAGACGUAAUAAUAUGAACAGAAAUCGUGAGCCAAAGAUAAUCGCGAAAGAGAAACAUCGUCAAAGCAUUUGAAGUCACAGAUCAAAUAUAUGUCGGCUGAAGAAAAUAAGAUUGGGCUUCGAAAAUUGUUUCGAACAGUAACAAACUUAUGUGAUUUGGGCUCCUAACAAGGACCGAAUCAUUCAAUUAAGAACAAAAUGUUUGGGCCUGAUCAAAAAAAUAAUAAUUGGAUCAACAAUUUGGUUGAAACGAAUUAGAU